rnacentral:misc_RNA from 1 species
GAUGAAGAACGUAGCGAAAUGCGAUAAGUAAUGUGAAUUCCAGAAUUCAGUGAAUCAUCGAAUCUUUGAACGCACAUUGCGCCCGCUAGUAUUCUGGCGGGCAUGCCUGUUCGAGCGUCAUUUCAACCCUCAAGCCCCCUACGGGGCCUGGCGUUGGGGGACGGCACCCUCCCCCGGGUGCCGCCCCCGAAAGACAGUGGCGGCCCCGCCGUCUGCCUCCUCUGCGUAGUAGAAACACCUCGCACCGGGACGCGGCGCGGCCAUGCCGUAAAACCUCCAACUUCUGAAGGUUGACCUCGGAUCAGGUAGGAAUACCCGCUGAACUUAAGCAUAUCAAUAAGCGGAGGA